UCAGGAUGAACGCUGGCGGCGUGCCUAACACGAUUCAAGUCGAACGAGCCGUAGAAAUACGGCGAGUGGCGGACGGGUGAGUAACGCGUGGGGUAACCUGCCUCAACACAGGGGAUAACAGUUGGAAACGACUGUUAAUACCGCAUAAGACCACAGUACCGCAUGGUACAGGGGUAAAAAACUCCGGUGGUGUGAGAUGGACCCGCGUCUGAUUAGUUAGUUGCGGGUAACGGCCACCAAGACGACGAUCAGUAGCCGAUCUGAGAGGAUGACCGGCCACAUUGGGACUGAGACACGGCCCAAACUCCUACGGGAGGCAGCAGUGGGGAAUAUUGCACAAUGGGGGAAACCCUGAUGCAGCCGACGCCGCGUGAGUGAAGAAGUAUUUCGGUAUGUAAAGCUCUAUCAGCAGGGAAGAAGAGUGACGGUACCUGAGUAAGAAGCCCCGGCUAACUACGUGCCAGCCGCUGC
rnacentral:rRNA from 1 species